rnacentral:tRNA from 1 species
CAAGGAAUAGUUUAAGUAGAAUAUCAGCUUUGGGUGUUGAUGGUGGGAUUUGAGUCUCUUCCUUGA